ACUUUUUCAUACUCUUUCUUACUUCUAUAUGCUCUAUAUCGUCUUUGCUUACUUUCCGAUAUAGGGUUCCUAACCAGAAUUGUUUUCGAUAUGUUUUUGGAUCUAUAUAUUUACAAGUAUUGAGUUAUAUUUUGUUUCAAUUGUUGUGUACAUUCCUUUAUUUCGAGGUCCAAUUGAAAAUCUUACUCUUUUAAGAGUCAUUGUUUUUGGGGAAAUGAGUGUGUUUUUGAGAAAAAGAGUCUAAAGAUUGUCUAUUUGUAUUAGGUGGCUUUCGACAAAUCUCUUGUCUUUUAUGGUUGACGGGGGUUGUCUGUAAGUAAUUGGACGGAUUAUGUGCUUAGGAUGUCGGCUACAACGCAAUGCACUCUUUCUAUUUUGUCUGUCUUGUUAUUUUCCCCCUUUUAUGGGGUUUGACGAUUAUAUUCUUUGGAUGGCUAAUUUUAUACACUGCAAGAAGAUUCUAAGUAAUUACUUUGUAAAUUUUGAGAAUAUAUUGUUCUUUAAUUAGAAAAGACAUCAUAUGAGUUCUAUUGUAUGUGUGCAACUACUGUAUCCUUAUACAUCAGGGACAGCUGGAAAUAUGAGUACAAUUACAUGAACUUUAGGUGAUUGUUGUAGAUAUUUACCCACUGAAUCAAAGGGCAUUCUAACGCAAUGAACCGAUCAUCCAGGAUUUGAGCUAAUCGCCAUGGUAAGGCACCCCUUGUGGUUUGUUUACUUCUACAAAUGUAUUUGGAGUUUGUUUAUCAAAAGUUGUUUUAAUAGUACUUUUGAGCAACUUUAACUAUGAAUUGAUUGCUGGACCAAUAUUAACAAAGAUUAUUGGACCGAUAAUUGUAACAAUUUUUUAUAAGUUACAACACAUAUCUCUUGUCACUCUUAUCCUGUAACAGACCAACUUCUUUCUAUCCUUGUGCGCAACUAUCUUUUAUUUUAGAAAACAAGCUUGGCGAGUAAUUACCGUCUUACAUUAAGAAAAGUACUACAUUAAACUUUGGCUAGCAGUUCCUUCUUUGUCUUUUCGGAACCUUAUCUAAUGUAUCUAAACAUGUCUUGUCAUUAUAAAAGCUAUUCGAUGACUAGUUAGAGUAAGUGCCACAGAUCAUAUUAAUAAGUAACUUUGUCAUAUCACACAUGACCUGUUUGGCUCAAAGAAGUAUGGUGAUUCUGUAUCCAUUCAUGUAAUGGAUAUAUUUAUAGGAUUUUACCCUGUGAGUUCUAGUUUAGUACUUUUCAUUUGCACAUUUUUGCUUUUUUUGUUUUUGCAACUUUUGCUAGUUCUAGGUUUUUGAUAUUGUAUGCCCCACUCUUCAGUUUUGCUUUAUAUAGUUGAAUUUAAUAACAAGAAAGCAUGUAUUUAAUUACAAGCAAACUAAACUUUUAUGAUUCUUAUUUUAUCGGUUAGCAAUUUUCUUCGUUUGUACCUUACAUUCAAUUUAAUUAUAAUGUCAAGGUGAUGUAAAUCCAUCGAGGGAUAAAUCCUCUACCAGUGCAAAGGUUUUAGCAUUGAUGGGCUGUUUUUAUAGCAUUGAGGACUGCACCAAUUGAAGAACAUUUGCAGCUUUGAAUAUCAGUUGGAUUGAAGCAAAGAAGUGGUAGCCUUGAGAACAAUAAACAUGGUUGGCUCAAUGACAACUGCUAUAUGACUCAGUUAUGUAGGUGAUUUUUUUCAUGAAUAUAUGGCUAGAUUUUAUGCUGCCAAGUAGAAAUGUUUUGGAGGUAAGUUUUAUGAUGAUAUACGAGGAAAUAACUUUGUACUUUAGUUCUUAUUCAUGUGAGAAUAUUCAGUAACUUCUGUUCAAUGCUAUUAAACCAAGUGAGAUUUAUUUAUAAGGAGAUUUGUAGCAUUCUUUUAUUUAUGUAACUAGAUUUGUCCUUUUAACCUGUCAAAAUGCUAGUUGUUUAUAAGUUUUUCAUCAAAUGCUUUUGUUUCAUUA